rnacentral:lncRNA from 1 species
AACCGAACCGUACUUUCAUAAUAACCUACCGAACUGAUCGACGUCCACCCUUAACUUCGGUAGUUUCAUUUGCCCUCACAAUUUUAUACUCUCCACACUUUCAAGGACUAAUAUUUGACUUCUCAUCAUCAUCUCAGUGGAAUCUUUCAAUUUCAAGUAAGUUUUUCUCUCAAUUUUUCUUUAAUCUUCCAUUUCUUUUCAAAAUUUUCAAUUUCAUGGAUGAAUUCAUGUUUGUUUUUCUUCUAUGCUCUUGUUCAUCCUUUCAUCUCCAUCCUUAAAUAUUCUUUUUGCGUGAUCUCUUUAUUAUUUUUUUUUCCAUAUUUCAAAGGUUAUUUUUUUCAGUUCUUUUAUAUUUUCUCAUAUUAUUCUAAUUUUAAGUAUGAUUUCUCCCAGUUUCUGCCCCAAUUUCUUCUAAUUUCUCUUCGGACUUUCGAAUCUCAUUGCUGGAAUUCAUGGUUGAUGUCUUUAUAAAGAAAAUGGUAGAGUUUCAGAAGGUUUGCAAUGCUAAAAUUUUGUUUGAAUCGGGGUAGAUAACGAUGAACGAACAACUUAUAGAAGUAUUUUUAUUUGCUUUUGACUUCUCUUUGAAUUUCGAAAAUUAUCUCUUCAAAUCAUGUUAUAUCAAACUGCAUGCUUUAUUUUUUUCAUUUUUAUUGAUUAUGGAUUAAAAAGGUAACUUUUUGUUUCCAUCUCCCACUAAUUAUUCCAUCCACUCUGCGUUAUUACUAUCUUUUAUAGAAUAAAAACUGUAUUACAGCUACCGAUUGGUUAAAAAUUUUAUAAUAUAGAUGAGCAUGUUUGAAAUAUUCUGCUUCUUAUUGUCAUAUUAGUUCUUUUUACUGAGUGCAAUUUAAUUGGCGUUACUUCAGUAUUCUUUGACCAAAUAAUAAUCAUCUAGGUAGAGAGAAGUCAAUGUUGUUUCAUCUCCUUUUUUUUACACGAUAAGAAACAAAUUUGGGUUGGUAAUACAUCUUCAUGCUCAACAAGAUGCACCAACCCGGGGAUAUUUUACAUCAAAUUUUAUAGAGUUGUUGAUGAAGCUUGCUCUAUAUCUCGGUUGAGAACUCUAAUGGAGUUUACUGUAAGUCUCAGUUGACAACUUUCAUUGUAUGCAUUCACACAAUCAAUUGAUAAUGAAGUAUUUUACAGUUAUAUGUAAGUUUGAAUUUAUCUCUGCUCAAUUGAUGUUUUCUUUAAGAAACAUAAGGAAGCUUCCAUAAAAACUUUUUACAUUACUUAAUUAGUAUUACUUUUCAGAUGAAUAUGUGACUGUGAUUGUGAAUUUAUGUGAACUGAGUAAAUCAUGGAUUACAGUUUCUGGGUUGGUGAUCCUCCUAAUAUGAUAAAUUUAUGGUAUGGAUGACUAAAAUUUUCACCUUUCCUCUUGCCUGGUAAGUUACAUAUUUGUAAUAGAUUAUUGUAAACUGGUAUUAUUAUGAAGAUCUGCCAAGAGCAUUAAAUUAUAUUUCUUAUUGUUUUUCAGUACAUAUAAGAGUGAGAAUUUCAUGCAUAGGGCUAUCCUUUUCCUGAAGUUGAUUUAUAAGGCAUGUAUUGAGUUUUUACUAUUAGUAUGAAUGACUCUUUUAUUUUUAUUAUUUUGAGCUAUUAAGAAUUUACUUUUAUGCAAAUAAUUGUAGGAAAAAAAAAAGAACCUAUCUUAUAAUCUUUUGUACCUUUCACCAGUUAUUUUUUUAGGCUGACAUUUUCUUUAAAAUUUAAAUAGAAUGUAGAAAAACAAUGUAAUAUACCUUGUUAUUACUAUGGACAUCUUUAAAGGAAAUAGUAUCUCUCAUUUCCUUUUUAAUAUAUGUGUUUCUAUACCAUUUAGUACUAUAUUACGGUGGCUAUUAUGAGGCAAAUAGUCUUGUAACUAUCAAUGAUUCUCCAUAUUGAGGUUAGUUGUUGGAACUACUAAGAGUUGACUUGGUUUAUUGUUUCAAAUAUUUUUGGAUAGCUUAGAAAACAACAUUUGUUACAAGGCUCAAUUGGAGCAAUGUCUUAUUGUCAAGCCAUGAAGAAGAUGCCUGCCAAAUUGUUGCGCUUCAACUACUUUAUGAAGUCUAGGCAAUUAACCAUCUUGAUAUGUUCCUUUGUUUCAUGUUCUUUUGGUUCACAACUCUCAGCUUUAGUUGAAUACUAGAAUGUUGUCAGAACUAUUGAAACUACCAUCAUUACCCUGGUCCCUAAUUUGUCAUUUACGAUUGAUGUUCAUGUCUCAAUACAUUUACAGAGAUCUAUUUCAGGAUCAUAGACAUCAGACCUUAAGGCACUGGUAGCUUAUACACCUACAAGGAGAUAAAUAUUUUUGGUUCAUUUAAGAGUUUGCACCCAGUUGGUGGUUUGUCAAAUCAAAAGCAAAAUUCUCAAUCUUCAUAUAAUACAUUAUAACAACUUCAUUUUAUCCAAUGGUUGAACCUCAAAUUGUAAACCAAAUCUAGAAAGUUUUAACGUUUGAAAUACAAUUUCUCGUGAUCUUCAUGGUUCAUGCAUAGUGCAUACCGAGAUGUUGUUUCACCCUUUAGGAUAAAGCUAUUGUUUUAUAUUGAUGUUCAACGAACCAAAUUGAAAAUGCUUUGGGUUGAAUUUUCUAAUUUUUUUCCUUUUUAUGUAGAAUUUUAACAAAUCAUUCAUAAGAAAGUUUUUUGUUGUGAAUAACAGGUCUGGCGAAAUCUAAUCGUUCGGGCUAAACCUAUAUUUAGAAUGUCUUCGUAAUCCAAAUAUCAUCUCUUUAUCUACAUUUUCUCAUUUUCUGCUUUUUUUGUUCAGAUCACGUGCUCAGCUUAACUUCCUAUAACAAAUCUCAUCAACUAACUUUAAAUAUUUCGCUUCACUAGAGGAUUGGCUCAAUAGCUUUCUUCCUUCAAUUAGAAAAGGGGCUAAUGGAAACUCAGGAGCUUCACUCAGAGCUAUUAAGCUCUUUGGGGGAAGUCAGAAGUUCUUCCACUCGGAAUUGCAUCGGAGAAGCUAGAACAAUACAGAUAACCAUCCUGAUAAAAGAGUAAAACUAGUGGGAACAGAGUUCUAAGAAAUUAAAUUUUUCGACAUCUCUAAGAUCUUAGAAUUUUGGAUCUUUUAUGGCAAUGCAUUGGCUUGGGAUCUCAUGGAUUGAAUUGCGUACAUAAAUUUAUGUUGAU